rnacentral:rRNA from 1 species
UACGUAGGGUCCGAGCGUUGUCCGGAAUUAUUGGGCGUAAAGGGCUCGUAGGCGGUUUGUCGCGUCGGGAGUGAAAUCUUACAGCUUAACUGUGAACUUGCUUUCGAUACGGGCAGACUUGAGGCAUUCAGGGGAGAACGGAAUUCCUGGUGUAGCGGUGAAAUGCGCAGAUAUCAGGAGGAACACCAGUGGCGAAGGCGAUCUUCUGGACGGAUACUGACGCUGAGGCGCGAAAGCUAGGGGAGCAAACGGG